GGGCCUGUGGUCUAGUUGGUUAGGACGUCCGCUUGACGUGCGGGAGGUCGCCGGUUCGAAAGACGUGCUCUGGAAAUCCGGCCGGGCCCA
rnacentral:tRNA from 1 species